UACAGAGGUCUCAAGCGUUGUUCGGAUUCAUUGGGCGUAAAGGGCGCGUAGGCUGCGGGGCAAGUCGGGUGUGAAAUCUCAGAGCUCAACUCUGAAACUGCACUCGAUACUGCUUUGCUUGAGGACUGGAGAGGAGAUUGGAAUUCACGGUGUAGCAGUGAAAUGCGUAGAUAUCAGGAGGAACACCUGUGGCGAAAGCGGCUCACUGGACCACAACUGACGCUGAGGCGCGAAAGCUAGGGGAGCAAACAGG
rnacentral:rRNA from 1 species